AAUAUGUGAAAGAAAAGAUUUGGGCCUUAGUAUUGGGAAAAUAUGAACUAGAAGAAACAUGUAAGAGCUACAUUCUUCAAUGUUGUGGAAAUUUGUUUAGAAGCUAUAGAAAUAAAAUGAAGGCCAAGUAUUAUAACCCUUAUAAUACAGAUGAGGAGAGAUUGUGCCAUCGACCUCCACACUUAUCGGAUGAUGAUUGGAGGUGGCUCAUCCACUUUUGGGGUACACCUAAGGCCAAGGAUAUCUCAGAAAAAAAAAA